ncrna:Escherichia coli 101-1 C4 antisense RNA
AAUUAUGGCGGGGCGUACGGGGCCGACUUCGGUCGGGCCGGGUUCUAUGUUUGCCGGUACUGCGAACCUCGUACGUCUCGCCACCCAC